GUACAGAAGCCAUAUGGAUACAGGAAAAAAAGAGGCAAUAUUAAGGUGUUGCAAAAUUAUUGGCUCAAGAAAAAACAAGAAGUUGCUGAGACGGAAACAACGUUAGACUCUAUUUCUAUACAUGAUGAUGUCUCCUCAAAUAUCGGCACUCAGAAUUUCAAUGAUUGCAACAACAUUACUGUCGCUGGUACUUCCAGCGUUAGUGAUGGUGGUUUGCAACAAGAAGGAAUGGCUUCUUCAUCGAAUCAAAACAUAAACAGUGAAACAAUGUUUUGUAAUGAUGCCAUAGAAGGGAAUCGAAUAAUUGACAUCAGAUAUUCUGUUUAUGAACAGAUUGUUAUCAUGCAUAUGGAUCUAGAAUGUUAUAGUUAAUUCUGAUAUUUAU